AUUGAACGCUGGCGGCAGGCCUAACACAUGCAAGUCGAACGAGUGGCGGACGGGUGAGUAAUGUCUGGGAAACUGCCUGAUGGAGGGGGAUAACUACUGGAAACGGUAGCUAAUACCGCAUACCAUCAGAUGUGCCCAGAGGGGAUUAGCUAGUUGGUGGGGUAACGGCUCACCAGGGCGACGAUCCCUAGCUGGUCUGAGAGGAUGACCAGCCAGACUGGAACUGAGACACGGGCCAAACUCCUACGGGAGGCAGCAGUGGGGAAUAGUGCACAAGGGGCGCAAGCCUGAUGCAGCCGUGCCGCGUGUAUGAAGAAGGCCUUCGGGUUGUAAAGCACUUUCAGCGGGGAGGCGGUACCCGCAGAAGAAGCACCGGCUAACUCCGUGCCAGCAGCCGCGGUAAUAC
rnacentral:rRNA from 1 species